rnacentral:rRNA from 1 species
GCAAACCGACACAGGUAGUCAAGAUGAGAAUUCUAAGGUGAGCGAGCGAACUCUCGUUAAGGAACUCGGCAAAAUGACCCCGUAACUUCGGGAGAAGGGGUGCUCUUUAGGGUUAACGCCCAGAAGAGCCGCAGUGAAUAGGCCCAAGCGACUGUUUAUCAAAAACACAGGUCUCUGCUAAACCGUAAGGUGAUGUAUAGGGGCUGACGCCUGCCCGGUGCUGGAAGGUUAAGAGGAGUGGUUAGCUUCUGCGAAGCUACGAAUCGAAGCCCCAGUAAACGGCGGCCGUAACUAUAACGGUCCUAAGGUAGCGAAAUUCCUUGUCGGGUAAGUUCCGACCCGCACGAAAGGCGUAACGAUUUGGGCACUGUCUCAACGAGAGACUCGGUGAAAUCAUAGUACCUGUGAAGAUGCAGGUUACCCGCGACAGGACGGAAAGACCCCGUGGAGCUUUACUGUAGCCUGAUAUUGAAAUUCGGCACAGCUUGUACAGGAUAGGUAGGAGCCUUUGAAACGUGAGCGCUAGCUUACGUGGAGGCGCUGGUGGGAUACUACCCUAGCUGUGUUGGCUUUCUAACCCGCACCACUUAUCGUGGUGGGAGACAGUGUCAGGCGGGCAGUUUGACUGGGGCGGUCGCCUCCUAAAAGGUAACGGAGGCGCUCAAAGGUUCCCUCAGAAUGGUUGGAAAUCAUUCAUAGAGUGUAAAGGCAUAAGGGAGCUUGACUGCGAGACCUACAAGUCGAGCAGGGUCGAAAGACGGACUUAGUGAUCCGGUGGUUCCGCAUGGAAGGGCCAUCGCUCAACGGAUAAAAGCUACCCCGGGGAUAACAGGCUUAUCUCCCCCAAGAGUUCACAUCGACGGGGAGGUUUGGCACCUCGAUGUCGGCUCAUCGCAUCCUGGGGCUGUAGUCGGUCCCAAGGGUUGGGCUGUUCGCCCAUUAAAGCGGUACGCGAGCUGGGUUCAGAACGUCGUGAGACAGUUCGGUCCCUAUCCGUCGUGGGCGUAGGAAAUUUGAGAGGAGCUGUCCUUAGUACGAGAGGACCGGGAUGGACAUACCUCUGGUGUACCAGUUGUCGUGCCAACGGCAUAGCUGGGUAGCUAUGUGUGGACGGGAUAAGUGCUGAAAGCAUCUAAGCAUGAAGCCCCCCUCAAGAUGAGAUUUCCCAACUUCGGUUAUAAGAUCCCUCAAAGAUGAUGAGGUUAAUAGGUUCGAGGUGGAAGCAUGGUGACAUGUGGAGCUGACGAAUACUAA